rnacentral:lncRNA from 1 species
GACAGAGUCUAUUCUGGCAGGGAAGAGAGUGCAGCCUCACUCCUGUGAAGUACGAACUAGUGUGGAUGGAGCACGACAUUUCUCUCCGUCCCUCCCUCGCAUGUCACCGUUCACCGGCUCCGACUUUAUUUUGUCCUCUGCAUCUGGAGUGACUGACUGAGAGGAAAAGGAAGCAGCAGGUUCUUCAACCUUGGAGGACGAGAGCGAGGCUUCCCGAAACCAGUACUGACAGCCUGGACAAGACCCCCAGUAGACAGCCACCAUGUGCGACUGUUUUCACCUGGCGUUUCCCAACUGGCAUGCAUCAGCCGCGGGAGAAGGGCGCAGGCUGAAGGGACCAGAACAAGACACAGAUGAUGAUUUAGUAGGUGAGGAGCCUGAAGUUUUAGAGGGGGAAAGACCUCGUCCUCAGGGUUCCUCUCCUGUUGAGGAAUUCCCCACCACAGAGAAAUACGCGAAACAGGUGAGCGCUACAUUAGACUCUUAUCUUA